GCCUGGUAGCCUUAUGGACAUGGCAUCUGCCCGGUAAGCGGAACAUUGUGGGUUCGAUUCCCAUCCCUGGACA
rnacentral:tRNA from 1 species